rnacentral:rRNA from 1 species
CCUACGGGAGGCAGCAGUAGGGAAUCUUCCACAAUGGUCGAAAGCCUGAUGGAGCAACGCCGCGUGGGUGAAGAAGGUCUUCGGAUCGUAAAACCCUGUUGUUAGAGACGAAAGUGCGUGAGCGUAACUGUUCACGUUUCGACGGUAUCUAACCAGAAAGCCACGGCUAACUACGGCCCAGCAGCCGCGGUAAUACGUAGGUGGCAAGCGUUAUCCGGAUUUAUUGGGCGGAAAGGUAACGCAGGCGGUCUUUUAAGGCUGAUGUGAAAGCCUGCGGCUUAACCGGAGUAGUGCAUUGGAAACUGGGAGACUGGAGUGCAGAAGAGGAGAGUGGAACUCGAGGUGUAGCGGUGAAAUGCGGAGAUAUAUGGAAGAACACCAGUGGCGAAAGCGGCUCUCUGGUCUGUAACUGACGCUGAGGUUCGAAAGCGUGGGUAGCAAACAGGAGUAGAUACCCUAGUAGUC